rnacentral:tRNA from 1 species
ACUUGGAUAAACUCUUAGCUUAGCUAAGCUAAUAUAGCAUCUCCCUUACACCGAGAA